rnacentral:lncRNA from 1 species
AUUCUCCGUCCUCUCUCGUUCACAGGUGGGCUGGCAGUUGCGUAACCUGGUCGGCUCGCUGCGGGCCGAUAAAGGCGUCGUGUCCCUGACCCUGAAGAAGCGUCCACAGAGCACGCUCAGCUCUGCCCCUGCGCUGCUGAAGAACAUGCGCUGGAAACCCCUGGCUUUGCAGCCGACCAGAAGCCCAGGCAGCAGUUCAGCCACGCCUUCAGGCACACCCACCAAGAACUCCGCCCUCCAGGACCUUUACAUCCCCCCUCCACCUGCUGAGCCAUAUACACCCAGAGAUGAGACAGGAGCCUUGUCUGGUGAUGAAGCAUCUCGUAACCAUGGUGGCGUCAGCGCUGCUAAGCGCUCUGAGUCACCGAACUCCUUCCUGGAUCAAGAGUCUCGCCGGCGAGAAGAGGAGGAGCCCGUGUACUGCACCACGCCCACAUACGGUUCGCUCUUAUCAUGAUUGAGUGUUUGUGUGAGAGGGAGAAACAAAGCGCGAGGGA